ACUUUGGGACAAAAAGCCUAAUUAGUGGGAUGACCUUACACCCUGUUUGCCUAAGACAGCCCUGGCUUACUCAGAUUACCCUAGCAACUAGUAUGCCCUCUGACUCCCAAAAGUACCCCAGUUAGAUAGAUGGCCUCCUUUAAUAUUAGGACUAAGUGAGGUGCCUUGAAUUUGAGUGCAAAUAAUUUAUUUAUUUCAGGAAAUAAAUAGAUCAAUAGAAUAGUAAGGAAGUGGAUUAGGAAAGCAGUCAAAGUUAGUAAAGGACAUGUGAUCAAACCAGUUAAUACUUGGGAAACCAGAGCCCAAUGCUAUCUGGGACCCUGGGAGAACAGUAUUGAGAUCAGAUUUUAGAUCAACAGAUUCCAGGAUAAUCCUAACUGAGAGGCAAGGCAACUGGGGUACUGAUCUGCAUGCAUCCUUAGUUUAGGACUUCUUUUAGGGUCUUAGCUCCUGGUGCUUCCAGCUUGCCCUCACGUGUGUCCAGAUAUGGUCCCCAAACAGAAAGCGGCCUUCAGCAUAGAGGUAAAUUCUGAGGAAUUGUAAAUGAAGCCUCAAUAGUGUCUGCUGCAGAGGGUAACCACAUAAUAUUAAAAGAUUUAUUUCAUCAAAAAAAUUAAAAUUCAAUUGGGUAUCUAAUGAAUUAACUUCAAAAUAUAUGAAACACAUACACACACAAUAUCCUGCAUCUUCUUUUCCAUCCACCCAUUGAUGAAUGAAUAUGGAAACAGGUUGUUUCUCUAUCUUGGCUAUUGUGAAUAAUACUGCAAUGAAUAUGAGACUGCAGGUGUCUUUAUGAUUUAUGGAUUGCAAUUCCUCGAUCCAGGAUCGAGUCCCACAUCAGGCUCCCUGCAUGGAGCCUGCUUCUCCCUCUGCCUGUGUCUCUGCCUCUUUCUCUCUCUGUCUCUCAUGAAUAAAUAAAUAAAAUCUUUUUUUUUUUUUAAAGAAGCUUUAUACUGUUUUCCAUAGUGUCUGCACAAAUUUGCAUUCCCACCAGGAGGGCACUGGGGUUACCUUUUCUCCAUACCCUCAUCACCCUUUGUCUUUUGAUAUGAGGUGGUGUGUUAUUGUGGUUUUGAUGUGCGCUUCUCUGAUAAACCACAGUUUAUCCAUUUACCUUCGAAGGACAUCUGGGUUACUUCCAAAUUUUGACAAUUACAAAUAAAGCUGCUGUAAACAUCUAUGUGCAGAUUUUUGUGUGGACAUAAGUUUUCAGGUCCUUUGGCUAAAUACUAAGAAUGCAAGAAUAAUUUAAAAAUAGAAAAGUCAUGGGUGCUUGGGUGGCUCAGUCGGUUAAGCAUCCAACUCUUGCUUUUGGCUCUAGUCAUGGUCACGAUCUCAGGGUCCUGAGAUUAAGCCCCAUGAAGGGCUCUGCACUCAGCAGGGAGUUGGCUUCCCCUCUCCCUCUCCUUCCGCACUCUCUCUCAAAUAAAUAACUAAAUCUUUAAAAAAGUAGAAAAUUCAAAGAUGUAUUCACCACAUUAAUGGAUUAAAAGAGACAAACUACCUCAAGAGAUGCCAAAAAAAAAAAACCCUUUUAGAAUUUAAUACUUAAUCAUGAUCAAAAGCUCUAAACAAACUAAAAAUAAAAGAACACUUUAAAAAAAAAA
rnacentral:lncRNA from 1 species